CGCACAAGCGGCGGAGCAUGUGGAUUAAUUCGAUGCAACGCGAAGAACCUUACCUGGGUGUGACAUAUACCGGAAAGCCGUAGAGAUACGGCCCCCCUUGUGGUCGGUAUACAGGUGGUGCAUGGCUGUCGUCAGCUCGUGUCGUGANNNNNUGGGUUAAGUCCCGCAACGAGCGCAACCCUUGUCCUGUGUUGCCAGCGCGUAAUGGCGGGGACUCGCAGGAGACUGCCGGGGUCAACUCGGUAGGAAGGUGGGGACGACGUCAAGUCAUCAUGCCCCUUAUGUCCAGGGCUUCACACAUGCUACAAUGGCCGGUACAGAGGGCUGCGAUACCGUGAGGUGGAGCGAAUCCCUUAANNNNNNUCUCAGUUCGGAUCGGGGUCUGCAACUCGACCCCGUGAAGUCGGAGUCGCUAGUAAUCGCAGAUCAGCAACGCUGCGGUGAAUACGUUCCCCGGGCCUUGUACACACCGCCC
rnacentral:rRNA from 1 species